ACACACACACACACACACACACACUAACGGGUAUACACAACCAGCAUCGAUGGCGAAGUGAUUCAAAUGAGGGUUUUGGUGUUGUGCAGAACAUGCAUGUGUGUGUGUGUGUGUGUGUGUGUGU
rnacentral:miRNA from 1 species